rnacentral:misc_RNA from 1 species
CUUGUCACUUCAGGAUGCUCAUGG